AUCUACUUUUACUUACUUCUACCUAUUUCUAUAUGUAAUUAUUAGCUUACAUGAUUAUGGUCGUGACACUAGUACAACCCUGACUUCAGCAACGAUUGCCUCAGUCUUCUCAAAACCCUAUGAAGAAAAAAAAUCCAAUUCUUUGUCUUUUUUCCCCGCUCCGAAGCAUGAAGCUAGCUCUCCGAUCCUUCUAAAAAACUUCU
rnacentral:lncRNA from 1 species